UAUAUUUUAGUAUAUGAUGUACAAAAGUUUUUGGAACUUUAAGAAAUAGUUUAAUUCUAUUCAAUAUAA
rnacentral:tRNA from 1 species